rnacentral:rRNA from 1 species
UUCGCCCUUAGAGUUUGAUCCUGGCUCAGGAUGAACGCUGGCGGCGUGCCUAACACAUGCAAGUCGAACGAAGCACUGCAGACGGAGAUUCGUCAAAGUCUGCUUUGACUUAGUGGCGGACGGGUGAGUAAUGCGUGAGCAACCUGCCUUUCAGAGGGGGACAACAGUUGGAAACGACUGCUAAUACCGCAUAACAUAUUUUGGGGGCAUCCCCGGGAUAUCAAAGGAGCAAUCCGCUGAAAGAUGGGCUCACGUCUGAUUAGCUGGUUGGUGAGGUAACGGCUCACCAAGGCUGCGAUCAGUAGCCGGACUGAGAGGUUGAACGGCCACAUUGGGACUGAGAUACGGCCCAGACUCCUACGGGAGGCAGCAGUGGGGAAUAUUGGGCAAUGGGCGAAAGCCUGACCCAGCGACGCCGCGUGGAGGAAGAAGGUUUUCGGAUUGUAAACUCCUGUCGUUAGGGACGAUAAUGACGGUACCUAACAAGAAAGCACCGGCUAACUACGUGCCAGCAGCCGCGGUAAAACGUAGGGUGCAAGCGUUGUCCGGAAUUACUGGGUGUAAAGGGAGCGCAGGCGGGAAGACAAGUUGGAAGUGAAAACCAUGGGCUCAACCCAUGAAUUGCUUUCAAAACUGUUUUUCUUGAGUAGUGCAGAGGUAGAUGGAAUUCCCGGUGUAGCGGUGGAAUGCGUAGAUAUCGGGAGGAACACCAGUGGCGAAGGCGGUCUACUGGGCACCAACUGACGCUGAGGCUCGAAAGCAUGGGUAGCAAACAGGAUUAGAUACCCUGGUAGUCCAUGCCGUAAACGAUGAUUACUAGGUGUUGGGGGAUUGACCCCCUCAGUGCCGCAGUUAACACAAUAAGUAAUCCACCUGGGGAGUACGACCGCAAGGUUGAAACUCAAAGGAAUUGACGGGGGCCCGCACAAGCAGUGGAGUAUGUGGUUUAAUUCGAAGCAACGCGAAGAACCUUACCAGGUCUUGACAUCCGAUGCAUAGCACAGAGAUGUGUGAAAUCCUUCGGGACAUCGAGACAGGUGGUGCAUGGUUGUCGUCAGCUCGUGUCGUGAGAUGUUGGGUUAAGUCCCGCAACGAGCGCAACCCUUAUUGCCAGUUACUACGUUAAGAGGACUCUGGCGAGACUGCCGUUGACAAAACGGAGGAAGGUGGGGAUGACGUCAAAUCAUCAUGCCCUUUAUGACCUGGGCUACACACGUACUACAAUGGCGUUAAACAAAGAGAAGCAAGACCGCGAGGUGGAGCAAAACUCAAAAACAACGUCUCAGUUCAGAUUGCAGGCUGCAACUCGCCUGCAUGAAGUCGGAAUUGCUAGUAAUCGCGGAUCAGCAUGCCGCGGUGAAUACGUUCCCGGGCCUUGCACUCACCGCCCGUCA